GACGAACGCUGGCGGCGUGCUUAACACAUGCAAGUCGAACGAGUGGCGGACGGGGGAGUAAUGUCUGGGAAACUGCCUGAUGGAGGGGGAUAACUACUGGAAACGGUAGCUAAUACCGCAUACCAUCGGAUGUGCCCAGAUGGGAUUAGCUAGUAGGUGGGGGAAAGGCUCACCUAGGCGACGAUCCCUAGCUGGUCUGAGAGGAUGACCAGCAACACUGGACCGGAGACACGGUCCAGACUCCUACGGGAGGCAGCAGUGGGGAAUAUUGCACAAUGGGCGCAAGCCUGAUGCAGCCAUGCCGCGUGUAUGAAGAAGGCCUUCGGGUUGUAAAGUACUUUCGGCGGGGAGGCGUUACCCGCAGAAGAAGCACCGGCUAACUCCGUGCCAGCAGCCGCGGUAAUUC
rnacentral:rRNA from 1 species